rnacentral:rRNA from 1 species
CGCAAGUGUAUAUCUAUGCUGUUGCGGUUAAAAGCUCGUAGUUUGAUUCGCGUACUUAGCACGCAGUGUGGCCUUUCGGCUACUACUGUGAUGCGGUACAUUAUCGUCAGUUUGUCGUUGAUGCUCUUCAUUGGGUGUCAGCGGCGGCUGUCAAGUUUACUUUGAACAAAUUAAAGUGCUCAAUACAGGCGUUUCGCUUGUAUAGUUCUGCAUGGAAUAAUAGAAUAGGACUUACGUUCUAUUGUGUUGGUUUUCAGAACGAAAGUAAUGAUUAAGAGGGACAGACGGGGUCAUUCGUACUGCCACGUUAGAGGUGAAAUUCUUGGAUCGUGGCAAGACGAACUACUGCGAAAGCAUUUGACAAGAAUGUUUUCAUUAAUCAAGAACGAAAGUUAUGGGUUCGAAGAUGAUUAGAUACCAU